AAUUCCUUGCGAUUUGGAGCUGUAUACAGUUGACGUAAGAAAAAUCUAAAUGUCUGUGUUUGCAGCCAGCAUUUUCAGACAGAGGAUUUGGAAACGGAACUGAAGUCUCACUGAUGGGGUUGCAAUGUCGUUGAGCUUUGAAAAUUGAUGAUAUUCCAUUGAAAUUCCCUUUCACCUCAAAAAGGAAGGCAUCUGAUCCGCGCAGCAGAAAAGAAGUUAAGCUGAGUAGUACAGCGCCUGUAGACCCAUUGGAUGAAAGCUUUCAGCCUGAAAUAAGCUCAAGCUCAACAACAUCUGAAUUUGAAACAAGCCAGGACAGCCAAAGGAGACUGCAGUACAAACAAAUCUUCUGCGAGAGGUUGAAGCAGUGGGGAGUGAAAAGGUGUACGAGCGGCCACAUUGCUGUGAAGUGCAGAAAAGAGCAGACUGUUGUCUACAAGGAGCCAGAGUCACAGCUCCACUAAACAUCUCUGCCAACAACACCCCAGCGCCAAAGCCUGUUAAACCAGCUAUCAUUUCCCAACACAAGAAGAGGUUCACCAGCGAAAAACAUUCAGGAACCUACCUGGAACAUUCAACCAACAUAACAUCCAUAUUUUGUAAUAUAAUAUGUAAAUGCCUAGUAUGAUUACAACUGCAUUGUGGUAUAUAUGUUGCUAGCUGUUGUACAUACAGUUGAAGUGGGAUGUUUACAUACACUUAGGUUGGAGUCAUUAAAAUUUGAUUUUCAACCACAAAACAAAUGUCUUGUUAAUAAACUAUAGUUUUGCCAAGUCGGUUAGGACAUCUAAU